rnacentral:tRNA from 1 species
UCCUUGGUGGUCCAGUGGAUAAGACUCCACACUCCUAAUGCAGAGGGCCCAGGAACUAUCCCUGGUCAGGGAA